AUUACCAACAUACAGAAUCUUAACAUUUUGUUAUCUAUGAUUUUGUGAUUACUGAAGGUUGGCAGCUUUGCAAUGACUUUUUCACUUUUUGAAGUUGUUUGAAAAUUGUAUAAAACAAACAUCUGAAAAAAUUGAUUUUUGCUUGAAUAUCAAGUGAAUUGGCUAUUAAAUUUGUGCUUUUAUGUUAAGUUUUGUUGCGUGUCACCGAUUUCGUGAGUUUAAUUACAUUUUCACCGACUCCUUGAAAAGUGAUACCUACUUAUUAUUUUCGUCUGAAAAUAUUUCAACUAACAUGGAAAGCCGCAUCUGCAAGAAGUGUACGAUUUGUGGAGUACGUAGACUCCCCAAAUCGAGCAUAUUUCUUGCAAAAUUUCCUCUUGACCCUGAUCGAUGUCGAUUAUGGGUGAAAGCAUCGGGCAUUGAAGAUUUAGUUUAUGUGCCAAUUGAAAAGUUGCAUCAGCUCAAGUUUAUCUGUGGUGCCCACUUUACCCGUCAAUGCUUUAAUGCAAAAGGGAACCGGUUGUUAGCCAGUGCAGUGCCAACUGAAGGUCUCAUGAGAACCCCUUUAUCUGAUGACCUUUUUACUGAGUUUCCUUUGCAUAUUAAAUCAUAUUAUGAUAAAAUUAAUCCUGCUGGAAAACAUACAGAUAAACUUAUGUCUACUACCGAAAAGAUAAACAUGAAUAUGGCAAUUGAAGCAAGCACUGAAAUAAAUGAGACAGAGGCACAUAUUUAUCAAGGUGGACCAGUGCUUACUAAUGUCCAUAAAACAUAUGGUACUGAUAAUUUUGUACCAAUACCUUCAACCUCGAAAACUCCUACACACUUGACAUAUAAAAGAAAAAAAGGAGGUAAGAAAUACUACUAUUUAUACUUCAUUGCAGCCCGUUCACCGUCAAUGAUAAAACAUUGUCGUUUUUUUCGAAUGCUUCUUUGCUGCUGCUGGUUUGUUUUUGUGUUUCCUUGCAAUGUAACAUUAAAAUUUAAAAAAGAAAGUAUGUGGCACCUCAGUAUUGUUCAGAUGUGCAGCACUUGGCGGUGAAUGGGUUAACACCCACUCAAGUAGAAAUGUAUCCUACGGCGAACAUUGAAAUUUCGGUUCAGAACAUUGUAUCACCAAAAAAAUGCAAGACUGGAACCACAAUGCAGAUGGGGGGUGAAGAAAUUCUGGUGCAAGGCUAUAAAACAUCAAGGAAAAGUCGAACAAAUGAUGAAAUAACUUUAACAAAAAGAGAAAGGAGAAUAUUAAAACGUCUACAAGAAUCAAAAAUCACGAUAAGGAGAAUGGCAAAGUCCUUAUUAAAUUUGGAUAAAUUAGACUCUGAUAUCCUUAAAUCGAUUGUGGAAAAUGCAGUCAAAAAUUACAAAAAAGCCCCACACGGAAAACGAUGGCAACCGCAAAACAAAACCUACGCUCUGUCUAUUUUUAAGCGUUCUCCUAAAGCAUACCGGUAUUUGCAAAAAAUGUUACCACUCCCAAGCACACGAUCACUUCAAAGGCUUUUAAAAGAAAUCCCUAUGGAACCUGGCAUUCAUUCUAAGAUUAUACAGAUAUUAAAAGAAAAAUCU